UUGUGGAGGAGGACGCCGAAGGUGGGGCUAAUGACUGGGGUGAAGUCGUAACAAGGUAGCCGUACCGGAAGGUGCGGCUGGAUCACCUCCUAACAGGGAGACAACAAAAUGUUUAAUAUUAUUAUUUUGUCACCUUAGGUCGAUCGGUAUCUCACGUUUUUAAUUUAUUAAGAAUUUCAUUUCCUAAGUUUUUCUAGGUCACACCCAUUAUUUUUCCUGGGCCAUUAGCUCAGGUGGUUAGAGCGCACCCCUGAUAAGGGUGAGGUCCCUGGUUCAAGUCCAGGAUGGCCCAUAUCUCUAUGUUGGGGGUAUAGCUCAGUUGGUAGAGCGCCUGCUUUGCAAGCAGGAUGUCAGCGGUUCGAGUCCGCUUACCUCCACUGAUCACCACCUCUUCCAUAAUCGGUAGAAAGGAAAUUUUUUGAGUUGUGAUCAAAUUCUGAAAGAAUCUAGCUUCCUAAUGAAAUCAUUAAGAUGCUGGACUCAUUGAAUUAAUUUCAUUGUUUUCAGAGAACCUUGACAACUGCAUAGAUUAUUUUUAAAGACAAUAAGCAUCUUUAAUGAUGCAGAUUUAUUAUUUGUGCAAAUGCAUUAAUAACAAUUCUAUUAAGCUGAUGCUUCAAAAUUUGAAGUUAUUGGUCAAGCUACAA
rnacentral:misc_RNA from 1 species